rnacentral:tRNA from 1 species
AGUUGGGAUGGCCUAUAGCGGUGGCGGGUUUUCGGCCUGUGUUUGAGAAAUUCUUUUCCUAAUUU